GAUUGUAUAGUGUAGUGGUUAGCACACCGGCUUCUGACGCAGCCGGAAACCCUGGUUCGAUUCCAGGUACAGUCA